UUAACUGAGAGUUUGAUCCUGGCUCAGGAUAAACGCUGGCGGCGUGCGUAACACAUGCAAGUUGAGCGACGACAUUUCUGAAGUGGAGACAUGGAAGGGAUGAGCGGAGCAGCGGACGGGUGAGUACAACAUGAGAAGCUG
rnacentral:rRNA from 1 species